rnacentral:rRNA from 1 species
AACAAAAGCUACAAGGGCGCACGGUGAAUGCCUUGGCGUCAGAUGCCGAUGAAGGACGCGGUACACUGCGAAAAGCGCUGGUCAGGAGUGUGCAUCCGUUUUGAGCCAGCGAUGUCCGAAUGGGGAAACCCGUGUAGAGGCAUGUCUACACACGGGAGGGGGAACACAUACCCCUUCACGAGGGCACCGGGGGAACUGAAACAUCUCAGUACCUCGAGGAAAAGAAAUGUAUUCCGCGAGUAGUGGCGAGCGAAAGCGGACCAGCCCAGUGAGCACUGGACAGGUUAGUAGAAGGAGGUGGGAACCUCCGCCAUAGAGGGUGAUAGCCCCGUAAACGACGACUUGACCGAUGCUCCAUGAGUACGGCGGGACACGCUAACCCCGCCGGAAGACAGGCAGCCCACUGCCUAAGGCUAAAUACAUCUGACGACCGAUAGGGCACAAGUACCGCGAGGGAAAGGUGAAAAGAACCCCGCUGAGGGGAGUGAAAUAGAUUCUGAAACCGUGCGCUUACAAGCAGUCAGAGGGGGAGCAAUCUCCUGAUGGCGUGCCUCUUGAAGAAUGAGCCAGCGAGUGUAUCCAAGUGGCUAGGUGAAGGCAGGUACAGCCACAGCCACAGCGAAAGCGAGUCUGAAUAGGGCGAGUAGUCGCUUGGAUACUACACGAAACCGGGUGAGCUACCCAUGUCCAGGUUGAAGCGAGGCUAACCCCUCGUGGAGGACCGAACUGUCGACUGUUACAAAAGUCUUAGAUGAGAUGUGGGUAGGGGUGAUAUGCCAAACGAACUCGGAGAUAGCUUGUUCUCCCCGAAAUCACUUUUGGGUGAGCGUCGUCUGUUUAGCAGGGCAGGUAGAGCACUAGUUGGGCUAGGGGCCUCAGGGUUACCAAACCCACUUAAACUCCAAAUAGCUCUGCUCCAAGGACGGCAGUUGGACGAUGGGAGAUGAGUUUCGUCGUCGAGAGGGAAACAACCCAGACCUACAGCUAAGGUUCCUAACUUACCGUUGAGUGGGAAACGAGGUGGGUGUGUCGAGACAGCCAGGAGGUUGGCUUAGAAGCAGCCAUCCUUGAAAGAGUGCGUAAUAGCUCACUGGUCAAACGCACCUGCGCGGAUAACGACACGGAGCUAAACGGUAGACCGAAGCUUAGGAUGAAAAUGGUAGGGGAGCGUCGUGGCAGCGGAGAAGGUCAGCGCGGUAAGCGAGGCUGGAGCGACCACGAGUGAGAAUGCUGGCAUGAGUAGCGAGAAAAGAGUGAAAACCUCUUUCGCCGUAAGUCUAAGGGUUCCGACGCAAGGUCAGUCCGCGUCGGGUGAGUCGAGCCUUAGCCGAGGCUGCUGUAGUGGCAGCGUAGGUGAUGGACAACAGGUGAACAUUCCUGUACUACCUAACUGGAGUGAAGUGGGGACGCAUUGAGGGGAUCCAGCCCGGUGCUGGACGUCCGGGUGCUAAGCGGGAUAGCGCUGAGGGGGUAGGCAAAUCCGCCCCUGAGCAAAGACGCGACGGCGUGGGGGAAACCCCGAGAAGUGGAUGGGCCUCGGUGCCAAGAAAAGCCGCUAAACGUUGAAGGGUGGGUACUCGUACCGCAAACCGACACAGGUAGACGAGUUGAAGAUACUCAGGCGAACGGGAGAACCUUCGUUAAGGAAUUCGGCAAAUUAACCCCGUAAGUUCGCGAUAAGGGGUGCUAGGUGUAAACCUAGUCGCAGUGAAGUGGCUCUGCUAACUGUUUAACAAAACCAUAGGUCUCUGCCAAAGCGCAAGCUGAAGUAUAGGGGCUGAAGCCUGCCCAGUGCCGGAAGGUUAAGAGGAGAGGUCAGGGGAAACCCGCAGCUUUGAAUCGAAGCCCCGGUGAACGGCGGCCGUAACUAUAACGGUCCUAAGGUAGCGAAAUUCCUUGUCGGGUAAGUUCCGACCCGCACGAAUGGCCUCAUGAGUGGAGCACUGUCUCAACGAAGGACCCGGCGAAAUUGAAGUACGUGUGAAGAUGCGCGUUACCCGCACUAGGACAAAAAGACCCCGUGGAGCUUUACUGUAACUUGUCAUUGCGUUAGGACGCUUGCUGUGUAGGAUAGUUGGGAGGCUUGGAAGCUUGGGCGCUAGCCUAGGUGGAGCCAACGGUGAAAUACCAACCUGUGAGCAUCUUGACCCUAACCGUUGAGCAAGCAACGGGACCGUGGCAGGCGGGCAGUUUGACUGGGGCGGUCGCCUCCUAAAGAGUAACGGAGGCGCCCAAAGGUUCCCUCAGGUGGAAUGGAAACCCACCGUUGAGUGUACAGGCACAAGGGAGCUUGACUGCGAGACUUACACGUCGAGCAGAGACGAAAGUCGGGCUGAGUGAUCCUACGGCACCGUGUGGAAGGGCCGUGGCUUACCGGACAAAAGCUACCCCGGGGAUAACAGGCUGGUGAUGUCCAAGAGUUCACAUCGACGACAUCGCUCGGCACCUCGAUGUCGGCUCAUCCCAUCCUGGGGCUGGACAAGGUCCCAAGGGUUGGUCUGUUCGACCAUUAAAGGGGUACGUGAGCUGGGUUCAGACCGUCGUGAGACAGGUCGGUCUCUAUCCAGUGUGGGCGCAAGGGAAUUGAGGGGAGCUGGCCCUAGUACGAGAGGACCGGGCUGGACGGAGCGCUGGUGUGCGAGUUGUCGUGCCAACGGCAUUGCUCGGUAGCCACCUCCGGAGGGGAUAACUGCUGAAAGCAUCUAAGUAGGAAGCUCGCCCCAAGAUGAGUUCCCUCACAGAGUUAAUCUGGUAAGACCGCUGGUAGACCACCAGCUUGAUAGGCGGCAGGUGUAAGCAUGGCAACAUGCGCCAGCCUAGCCGUACUAAUGGUCGAGGGCUUUUUCUUU